CAUAUUGCGCAAUGGGCGAAAGCCUGACGCAGCAACGCCGUGUGAGGGAUGAAGGUUCUCGGAUCGUAAACCUCUGUCAGAAGGGAAGAACGGUUAUCGGUCUAACAGGCCUGUAAAUUGACGGUACCUUCAAAGGAAGAACCGGCUAACUCCGUGCCAGCAGCCGCGGUAAUACGGAGGGUGCGAGCGUUAUUCGGAAUUACUGGGCGUAAAGCGCGCGUAGGCGGUUAUGUAAGUCAGGGGUGAAAUCCCACGGCUCAACCGUUGAACUGCCUUUGAAACUGCGAGGCUUGAAUCCUGGAGAGAGUGGCGGAAUUCCUGGUGUAGGAGUGAAAUCCGUAGAUAUCAGGAGGAACACCGGUGGCGAAGGCGGCCACCUGGACAGGUAUUGACGCUGAGGUGCGAAAGUGUGGGGAGCAAACAGG
rnacentral:rRNA from 1 species